GGGGGGGGGGGGGGGGGGGGGGGGGGGGGGGGGGGGGGGGGGGGGGGGGGGGGGGGGGGGGGGGGGGGGGGUGCCCAGCAGCGGCCCUCCCGCCCCCCGCGGGGGCGGCUAGGGGCUGUGGGGCCCGCGGAGGGGAGGGGGCCAGGGCUGUGUUGGGGUCGGGGGUGUUUUGUUGUGUGUGCCGUGCCCUGUGACAGGUCAGAGUUCGUGACCCCCCCGUCGCCGCCCGGGAGCGCGUCCCCGCUUCCUCUCGUAGCGCCCGCCCGGCCGCGGCCCCUCCAUCCCCCGCGGGGCGGGGCCGGCGGCGGGGAGGGGCUACCGGGCUACCUGGGCCUCCCGAGCCCCGCGCCGCUCCGGCCGGGCCGGGCAGGUGCCGGGAGGAGCCUGGCCUCUGCAGCAGCGAGAGGAAGGUGUACCUUGGUUCCCGCUGAAGAUGCAGUCAAAGGUGGGCUCAUAGUUGAGCAGGCGCGCACAAACACCACUGCCGGACUGGCGAGUUUUUAUUUAAUUUUGUAAAGUCAACGUCAUUGAUUAGGGCUCUUAGUAAAGCUGGCUGUAAGUGAGGAACGUACCUCCAAGUGCACAAUGGCAGGCACGAAACAGGUUUACGUGCAGCUGAUGCGGUUUAACACCUUUCAGUGCUUGUCUUGUCACAGGUUAUCAGAUGUUCACCCCUUGUCACAACUAUUUCUUAACCUACUCGUAUUGAAAUCUUCUUAAUGCUUCUAGUAGGUUUCCCUUUAGUCUAAUAAUUUUUACAGAAGCUAAUUUAAGUAGUAAAACUAAAAGAGGUGGUAACACCUGAAAGAAAAUGUAUGGAAGAGAUAGCAGUUGAAUGCAAGAAUCACAUAAACAAGAGGUGCUGUUGACUGAAUAGUUACAGAGUCGGUAUGCCGAUUUUAUUUUAGUUGGAUUUUUUUUGGAGGGUUGUUUGUAGUUUUUUCUUAGACCUGUCUCUUUGGAGUAAGGGUAUGAGAAAUGUACUAGACCUAUGAAUUACAGCCUUACCUUUACAGAACAGAGAUUAGUAAAGUAUGUGAUGUGCAGAUGUGUUUUCAAUGCAUAAAUAAAGGAAAAUGUUUCAAAAAUGUCUUGGAGGUUCACCACUGUAAUGUUAAAUGCAUGAAGAAUUUUCAAAUUCUCAAAAUAAAGAUGUUUGCUUACCUUUAGAAGCAGAUUUUUCUUUUAACUUCAUAAAAUAUACUAUAAAAGUGUGACCAAAUGAAAGGAAAAA
rnacentral:lncRNA from 12 species